rnacentral:lncRNA from 1 species
CCAGUAUAUUUAGGGUGGAGAUUUAAGCCACACAAGGUGAAAAACAAGGAUGAAGUUGGAGAAGGAAGAGAAACUUGUCAAAGCCUGUAGAGAAGAAGUGAGGAUAAUUAAUCAGACAAAUGGAGAUAGAGAGCAGGUGUGCAGAGGGGAUAGUCUGAUGGAACAAAAAGGCAGUGGAAUGAAAAUGGAUGUCAGAAGAGAUAUCAGACUGUUCCAAUAAUUACAAGCCAGCUUUCUGCAUGAGCAAUCAAAGGCUGUGUUCUAGAUUGGAAGAAAAGUUACAGAAGUUUUCUGGUUUAGCAGAGGAAGCAAACUACCAGAGUUAUUAUCCAGGUUCUAGGGAAAAAAAGAGGGAAGAGAUACAGUGGGAACAGAACUGUGAUAUUUGCAGCAGUUUGCCUUUCCUCAGAAGAUAACUGAGAGUUCUGCAUGGAGAUGGCAAAAGGCAGACCUAUACUUGGAGUUUGCAGUCCAGCUCCCCUAAAGAAAUCGCACGGUAUUCCCCGCAGAGGGAGCGGCCGGAGCCGCGGUGCUGGCUGUGCCCGGGGCUGCCGGGGUGCCGGGGCUGCCGCUCCCCGGGCGAUGCCGAGAUGCGGAUCAGGAGGCUCCUCCCGCUCUGCCGCCGGUGCUGGGGGAGCUCGGCUGGUCUCCGGUGCCGGGGAAGGCUCCGGGGCCCGGCCGGCAGCGGCUCCAGCACCAGGGACAGCGGGCGGGGAGCGGAGCGGGCGGGGAGCGCCUCAGGGCAGAGCUCCCUUAGAGCGGCGCCUCGGGGCUCAGUGCCCGUGGGGCUGCCGGGACCGGCGUGGGACCGAACGGGAAGGGACAGCACGGGAAGGAUUCGGAGCUCCUGCCCUGCCCUUCGGCCCGGCCCGCUGGACACCUCUGUCACCCUUCACACUGCACAGAGCACGCCAAGUACAGCAGCUCCGGGAACAUCAGCCCUCGCUCCCUGGAGUACAAACCAAGGUUCUGUUGUCCUGAAACAAAGCCGUAACAUCAGAGACAGCACUUAAAAACCCACAGCCAAAGCCUGCCCUCCCUGGUAGGGAUUUGGCUGCGGGCUGAUUGAUAGCUCAAAUCACUUCAUCAGCCUCUGGAAUAGCGACAUGCUCAUUUCCAUGAGAGAUGAAACCACUUCUCUGAUGUUGUCUUUCAAUAGUAUAAAUUUGUUAGCAUGAAAGAGAUCUCUUUCACGGCAAUAAAUACAUAAAUUAUAAGCA